rnacentral:lncRNA from 1 species
AUGAAAACACCUAAAAUGUUAGGGGGAAAGCAUAAAAAUAUUUCACAUCAUCACUCAAAAACAGAGGGUAUUGCUACAUGCUGGCCACAGGCAUGCAGAAGGAGCAAGUGGUCUGAUGGCUGUCAGCUAAAGUUUGUGGUGUUGUGUGUGUGUGUGUGUGUGUGUGUGUGUGUGUGUGUGCACUACAAUUACCUUGAUCAAAACUAAAGGCAGUGACCUCUCUUAAGAUUUUUUUUUUUUUUCCUCAAUUAAAGGCACGGUGACACAACAAUAGACCACAAUUCUCAAGUGCUCUCACGUUUCUAGUGGGAUUCUAAUGCUGAACUGUUAUUAAAUAAAUAGAACUACAACCACAAGGUGUCAUUAAUAAUGAACAUGAUAAACAUUUAGUAUAACAUUAAGUAUCUUUAAGGGUUUUGGAUGGACUUUUUAAAAGUUGUAAUAAGGGCUCAGAUUUUUUAAUCAUUUAUUUUUUUCAAUAACAUGAUAAAGGUGCAUGAUAAUUCCUUAGUAAUGAAAGCUACUGUUAUUCAUAAUUACAUACAAGUUAGCACUUCGACCAUUCCCAUGCACAUCUUGCCUGUAAACAUGCACCGAUAAAUGCUUUACAAUUUGUUUAAUUGAAAGAGAAAAUCCACAAAGAAUAUCAUUUGUAUCAAAUUUUAAGCUAAAGUGCAUAUUUAGCUAGCAGUUAUACUGUCUGUCCUGUUGUUAGUCACUGUCUGAAUCAGUCUCUCAAUUUGAAGUGACUGUUCACCCAAAUAUGAACAUUCUGUCAUCAUUUAAUCACCCUGACGUCGUUUCAAACUUGUAUGUACCUUUUUUUCUUCUGUGGAACAUAAAAAAUAUGUUUUGAAGAAUUUUUUGUCCAUACAAUAAAGUUAAGUUGGAUGCCUUUGACUUCAUGGAUGCCACACACUUCUUUUGUGUUCUUUAGAAGAAAUAAAUUCAUAUAAAAAAUGUUGAAACAACAUAAGGGUGUGAAAAUGACAGAAUUCGCAUUUGGGGUGAUCAAUCCUUUUAAGGACUAAUAGACCUUUCUAAUACUGUUUAUUUGAAAUCUACUA